rnacentral:lncRNA from 10 species
GCAAAGGAGGAAGAAGAGAAUACAAAUAACUGAUCAGAGGAAUAAAAAGUCUCUGCUUACUCUGAAGGGUCCAGUACAAAAAGAAUGUAACAGGAAGCAUAUGACGUCUUACAUUUGGUUCCACAAAAGAAGAGAUAGAGUUUCUCCAUGUUGACCAGGCUGGUCUCAAACUUCUGACCUCAAGUGAUUCACCGGACUCUGCCUUCCAAAGUGCUAGGAUUACAGGCCUGAGCCACAGCGCCUGGCCCAUUACUGCUUUUUUACUUCCAAAUGUUGAAUACCACUCUUUGUUAGCUACCAUUUCUUUUUGAGGAUAAUACCUUGAAACACUCCUUGUCAGCUACCAGCUAGACAGUCCCCAGAUUACACUUUCAGCUACCUACUUUUAUUGUGAUUUUUGGUCGUUUGUAGUUAUUAUUUUCUGAAUAACUCUGUUCACUACUAUUUCUGGCACUUAUUUUUAACCAGAUAUUAGAACUUUCUUAACUAAAGAUCCUACAACCAGAAGUCAGAACACAGACUGCUAUAUAUCAUGGACUCAAUUCAGAUGAAUAAUUUGACAUUUCCCAAAAAAAUUUCAAUUACGGUCAUUUUCUUACCACCCAGUUUACUUAAUACCUG